AUUGAACGCUGGCGGCAGGCUUAACACAUGCAAGUCGAACGAGUGGCGGACGGGUGAGUAAUGUCUGGGAAACUGCCCGAUGGCGGGGGAUAACUACUGGAAACGGUAGCUAAUACCGCAUACUAUCGGAUGUGCCGAUAUCGGAUUAGCUAGUAGGUGGGGUAAAGGCUCACCUAGGCGACGAUCCCUAGCUGGUCUGAGAGGAUGACCAGCCACACUGGAACUGAGACACGGUCCAGACUCCUACGGGAGGCAGCAGUGGGGAAUAUUGCACAAUGGGCGCAAGCCUGAUGCAGCCAUGCCGCGUGUAUGAAGAAGGCCUUCGGGUUGUAAAGUACUUUCAGCAGGGAGGCGUUACCCGCAGAAGAAGCACCGGCUAACUACGUGCCAGCAGCCGCGGUAAUAC
rnacentral:rRNA from 1 species